UUGGAGGGCAAGUCUGGUGCCAGCAGCCGCGGUAAUUCCAGCUCCAAUAGCGUAUAUUAAAGUUGUUGCAGUUAAAAAGCUCGUAGUUGAACCUCGGGGUCUACCCAUUGGUCAGGCUUAAUUGUCUGCACUGGUGAGAUGGAUCUCUACCUUCUGAGGAACUUUCAUGCCAUUUAUUUGGUGUGAUGGGAAAUCAGGACUGUUACUUUGAAAAAAUUAGAGUGUUUAAAGCAGACUAUCGUCUGAAUACAUUAGCAUGGAAUAAUGAAAUAGGACGUUCGAUCCUAUUUUGUUGGUUUCUAGGAUUGACGUAAUGAUUAAUAGGGAUAGUUGGAGGCAUUAGUAUUCAAUUGUCAGAGGUGAAAUUCUUGGAUUUAUUGAAGACUAACUACUGCGAAAGCAUUUGCCAAGGAUGUUUUCAUUAAUCAAGAACGAAAGUUAGGGGAUCGAAGACGAUCAGAUACCGUCGUAGUCUUAACCAUAAACUAUGCCGACUAGGGAUCGGAUGAUGUUAAUUUUUUAAUGACUCAUUCGGCGCCUUACGGGAAAC
rnacentral:rRNA from 1 species